UACGUAGGGGGCGAGCGUUGUCCGGAAUCAUUGGGCGUAAAGCGCGUGUAGGCGGUUCGGUAAGUCUGCUGUGAAAGUCCAGGGCUCAACCCUGGGAUGCCGGUGGAUACUGCCGAACUAGAGUGCGGAAGAGGCGAGUGGAAUUCCCGGUGUAGCGGUGAAAUGCGCAGAUAUCAGGAGGAACACCUGUGGCGAAAGCGGCUCACUGGACCAUAACUGACGCUGAUGCACGAAAGCUAGGGGAGCAAACAGG
rnacentral:rRNA from 1 species